UAGGAAACUGCCUACGCAAGUAGUGAGGAAGCGGGGAUGAGCAAAUCAGCACGGCCUUACGUCCAGGGCUACACACGUGCUACAAUGGCCGAUACAGAGGGCAGCUACCUGGUGACAGGAUGCAAAUCUACCAAAGUCGGUCUCAGUUCGGAUCGGAGUCUGCAACCCGACUCCGUGAAGUUGGAUUCGCUAGUAAUCGCGCAUCAGCCAUGGCGCGGUGAAUACGUUCCCGGGCCUU
rnacentral:rRNA from 1 species